GGGCCUGUAGCUCAGUGGUUAGAGCAGGCGGCUCAUAACCGCUUGGUCGCAGGUUCGAAUCCUGCCGGGCCCACCA
rnacentral:tRNA from 2 species